rnacentral:rRNA from 1 species
GGGUUGUGAGGUUAAGCGACUAAGCGUACACGGUGGAUGCCCUGGCAGUCAGAGGCGAUGAAGGACGUGCUAAUCUGCGAUAAGCGUCGGUAAGGUGAUAUGAACCGUUAUAACCGGCGAUUUCCGAAUGGGGAAACCCAGUGUGAUUCGUCACACUAUCAUUAACUGAAUCCAUAGGUUAAUGAGGCGAACCGGGGGAACUGAAACAUCUAAGUACCCCGAGGAAAAGAAAUCAACCGAGAUUCCCCCAGUAGCGGCGAGCGAACGGGGAGGAGCCCAGAGCCUGAAUCAGUGUGUGUGUUAGUGGAAGCGUCUGGAAAGGCGCGCGAUACAGGGUGACAGCCCCGUACACAAAAAUGCACAUGCUGUGAGCUCGAUGAGUAGGGCGGGACACGUGGUAUCCUGUCUGAAUAUGGGGGGACCAUCCUCCAAGGCUAAAUACUCCUGACUGACCGAUAGUGAACCAGUACCGUGAGGGAAAGGCGAAAAGAACCCCGGCGAGGGGAGUGAAAAAGAACCUGAAACCGUGUACGUACAAGCAGUGGGAGCACGCUUAGGCGUGUGACUGCGUACCUUUUGUAUAAUGGGUCAGCGACUUAUAUUCUGUAGCAAGGUUAACCGAAUAGGGGAGCCGAAGGGAAACCGAGUCUUAACUGGGCGUUAAGUUGCAGGGUAUAGACCCGAAACCCGGUGAUCUAGCCAUGGGCAGGUUGAAGGUUGGGUAACACUAACUGGAGGACCGAACCGACUAAUGUUGAAAAAUUAGCGGAUGACUUGUGGCUGGGGGUGAAAGGCCAAUCAAACCGGGAGAUAGCUGGUUCUCCCCGAAAGCUAUUUAGGUAGCGCCUCGUGAAUUCAUCUCCGGGGGUAGAGCACUGUUUCGGCAAGGGGGUCAUCCCGACUUACCAACCCGAUGCAAACUGCGAAUACCGGAGAAUGUUAUCACGGGAGACACACGGCGGGUGCUAACGUCCGUCGUGAAGAGGGAAAUAACCCAGACCGCCAGCUAAGGUCCCAAAGUCAUGGUUAAGUGGGAAACGAUGUGGGAAGGCCCAGACAGCCAGGAUGUUGGCUUAGAAGCAGCCAUCAUUUAAAGAAAGCGUAAUAGCUCACUGGUCGAGUCGGCCUGCGCGGAAGAUGUAACGGGGCUAAACCAUGCACCGAAGCUGCGGCAGCGACGCUGAUGCGUUGUUGGGUAGGGGAGCGUUCUGUAAGCCUGUGAAGGUGUGCUGUGAGGCAUGCUGGAGGUAUCAGAAGUGCGAAUGCUGACAUAAGUAACGAUAAAGCGGGUGAAAAGCCCGCUCGCCGGAAGACCAAGGGUUCCUGUCCAACGUUAAUCGGGGCAGGGUGAGUCGACCCCUAAGGCGAGGCCGAAAGGCGUAGUCGAUGGGAAACAGGUUAAUAUUCCUGUACUUGGUGUUACUGCGAAGGGGGGACGGAGAAGGCUAUGUUGGCCGGGCGACGGUUGUCCCGGUUUAAGCGUGUAGGCUGGUUUUCCAGGCAAAUCCGGAAAAUCAAGGCUGAGGCGUGAUGACGAGGCACUACGGUGCUGAAGCAACAAAUGCCCUGCUUCCAGGAAAAGCCUCUAAGCAUCAGGUAACAUCAAAUCGUACCCCAAACCGACACAGGUGGUCAGGUAGAGAAUACCAAGGCGCUUGAGAGAACUCGGGUGAAGGAACUAGGCAAAAUGGUGCCGUAACUUCGGGAGAAGGCACGCUGAUAUGUAGGUGAAGUCCCUCGCGGAUGGAGCUGAAAUCAGUCGAAGAUACCAGCUGGCUGCAACUGUUUAUUAAAAACACAGCACUGUGCAAACACGAAAGUGGACGUAUACGGUGUGACGCCUGCCCGGUGCCGGAAGGUUAAUUGAUGGGGUCAGCGCAAGCGAAGCUCUUGAUCGAAGCCCCGGUAAACGGCGGCCGUAACUAUAACGGUCCUAAGGUAGCGAAAUUCCUUGUCGGGUAAGUUCCGACCUGCACGAAUGGCGUAAUGAUGGCCAGGCUGUCUCCACCCGAGACUCAGUGAAAUUGAACUCGCUGUGAAGAUGCAGUGUACCCGCGGCAAGACGGAAAGACCCCGUGAACCUUUACUAUAGCUUGACACUGAACAUUGAGCCUUGAUGUGUAGGAUAGGUGGGAGGCUUUGAAGUGUGGACGCCAGUCUGCAUGGAGCCGGCCUUGAAAUACCACCCUUUAAUGUUUGAUGUUCUAACGUUGACCCGUGAUCCGGGUUGCGGACAGUGUCUGGUGGGUAGUUUGACUGGGGCGGUCUCCUCCUAAAGAGUAACGGAGGAGCACGAAGGUUGGCUAAUCCUGGUCGGACAUCAGGAGGUUAGUGCAAUGGCAUAAGCCAGCUUGACUGCGAGCGUGACGGCGCGAGCAGGUGCGAAAGCAGGUCAUAGUGAUCCGGUGGUUCUGAAUGGAAGGGCCAUCGCUCAACGGAUAAAAGGUACUCCGGGGAUAACAGGCUGAUACCGCCCAAGAGUUCAUAUCGACGGCGGUGUUUGGCACCUCGAUGUCGGCUCAUCACAUCCUGGGGCUGAAGUAGGUCCCAAGGGUAUGGCUGUUCGCCAUUUAAAGUGGUACGCGAGCUGGGUUUAGAACGUCGUGAGACAGUUCGGUCCCUAUCUGCCGUGGGCGCUGGAGAACUGAGGGGGGCUGCUCCUAGUACGAGAGGACCGGAGUGGACGCAUCACUGGUGUUCGGGUUGUCAUGCCAAUGGCACUGCCCGGUAGCUAAAUGCGGAAGAGAUAAGUGCUGAAAGCAUCUAAGCACGAAACUUGCCCCGAGAUGAGUUCUCCCUGACUCCUUGAGAGUCCUGAAGGAACGUUGAAGACGACGACGUUGAUAGGCCGGAUGUGUAAGCGCAGCGAUGCGUUGAGCUAACCGGUACUAAUGAACCGUGAGGCUUAACCUUACAACGCCGAAGGUGUUU